rnacentral:rRNA from 1 species
UGGGGAAUAUUGCGCAAUGGGGGAAACCCUGACGCAGCGACGCCGCGUGCGGGAUGAAGGCCUUCGGGUUGUAAACCGCUUUUGAUUGGGAGCAAGCUUUCGGGUGAGUGUACCUUUCGAAUAAGCGCCGGCUAACUACGUGCCAGCAGCCGCGGUAAUACGUAGGGCGCAAGCGUUAUCCGGAUUUAUUGGGCGUAAAGCGAGCGCAGGCGGUUAGAUAAGUCUGAAGUUAAAGGCAGUGGCUCAACCAUUGUAGGCUUUGGAAACUGUUUAACUUGAGUGCAGAAGGGGAGAGUGGAAUUCCAUGUGUAGCGGUGAAAUGCGUAGAUAUAUGGAGGAACACCGGUGGCGAAAGCGGCUCUCUGGUCUGUAACUGACGCUGAGGCUCGAAAGCGUGGGGAGCGAACAGG